GAUGAACGCUGGCGGCGUGCCUAAUACAUGCAAGUCGAGCGAACAGACGAGGAGCUUGCUCCUCUGACGUUAGCGGCGGACGGGUGAGUAACACGUGGAUAACCUACCUAUAAGACUGGGAUAACGUCGGGAAACCGGAGCUAAUACCGGAUAAUAUAUUGAACCGCAUGGUUCAAUAGUGAAAGAUGGUUUUGCUGUCACUUAUAGAUGGAUCCGCGCCGCAUUAGCUAGUUGGUAAGGUAACGGCUUACCAAGGCAACGAUGCGUAGCCGACCUGAGAGGGUGAUCGGCCACACUGGAACUGAGACACGGUCCAGACUCCUACGGGAGGCAGCAGUAGGGAAUCUUCCGCAAUGGGCGAAAGCCUGACGGAGCAACGCCGCGUGAGUGAUGAAGGUCUUCGGAUCGUAAAACUCUGUUAUUAGGGAAGAACAAAUGUGUAAGUAACUAUGCACGUCUUGACGGUACCUAAUCAGAAAGCCACGGCUAACUACGUG
rnacentral:rRNA from 1 species